AUAAAAACAAUAAAAUAAGAAAACUAAAAGCAUCGUUUUCUCCGCCCUGCAAAAUCGAGGCUCAUUUCGCAUCAAAGCUCCUGUCAAUAAAUGGCAAAGUCUUCCAAAAUCCGACAGUGGAACGCCUGGAAAUAAGGAAUUUGUUGAGACAGUCAUCCAUAUUUCAAGAUUUUUUCAACCUAGUUGUUGUCACAAAGAAAUGAUUAUGGAGGUUGACUGUACCGACGAUCAGCAUCGACCACUUCCACAACUUGCAAAGGCGUAUCUUCAACCCACAACAAAUCUGCUUCAUUUCACAAGGCCUCAACAGCCAUCGCAUGUGCUGCUCGAUUACCUUCAUGCGCAAUAAAUUGGAUUCGGCAAGAAUGAAAAAGCCUUACCAAAUUCUGCACAUCCCAGGUAAAAGGUCUUGAUUUCGAGUAAUCCUUACUUGUUUGUUGAAUAUUUUGAACAAUCAACCUAGAAUCACUCUCGAGGAUAACCUUUGUAAAUCCCAACUCUAGAGCAAACUAAAGCCCAUGAAAAACUGCUAUUGCUUCUGCAAUUAAUACCGAAUGAGUCAGAUAUCCUUGCAUCAACAUUAAUCUUAACCUACCCUUGCGGAGGAGGCAUCCAUUUAACCAUGGAUCUUGGCUUGGGGUGCUUCAGAUUCAAAACGCAACCUCGAUACUCCAUACUAAAACUGCUAAUAAAGAUCCGGAAGAUUCAAAUACGAUGCUAGAUCGAGGAAAGGAAAAAGUUCGGGAUUAGUAGAUUUUUACUGUUUACAAACAGGUAUCAAGUGUUAAGAGCUCGGAGGUCGGAUUUGGUCGGAGACACAUCACAAUGUCAACCUCAGGAUUUCGGUAUAUAAAGAAACUUUAUUUUGGAAAUCAAUGGCAUGUAUAAGCUAACAAAGUAAAUGUUAACGUGAAAUGAAUGUAAAGUUAGCCAUUAGUAUGGUUAACAAACCUGGUUUUAGAUAUGUGAUGACGUUAUCUUAUAAAUAUGCAUGAAUUUAUCUUGAAAA